GGAGCCCGCGGCCCGCGAAUGUCGGGUCGGGGUGCUCAAUGGCGGAGACACUGGCGAGUUUUUUCCUGGCAACGGCCGGGUUCUUCUAGUACAGCUGCCCUCGGGUGGUGGGAACGGAGUCCUGGUGCGGCUGGGAGAAGGCGGAUAGCACCCUGUUGGGUCCUGAAAGAACAACCGUUGGUUGUUUCUUUCGGAGCCUUGAGCGGAACCAUGGUGUUCCGCAGGCUGCCAGGCAUGGCCUGGUGUGGCAUACCGCCGGCGGUGGUCGGGUUUGGUGUCGCACGGAUCGGGUUGUGGGUUGGU
rnacentral:misc_RNA from 1 species